AAGUCGAACGAUGAAAGCCUCUUCGGAAGUGUAUGAAGUGGCGUAAGGGCGAGGAAUAUAUUUCUAUGUACCCCAAAGUCAAGGAUAGCCCAGGGAAACUUGGUGUAAUACUUGAUGUGGUCUCCGGAUCAAAGAUUUAUCGCUUUGGGAGCAGGGAAUAUCCUAUCAGGUAGUUGGUGAGGUAACGGCUCACCAAGCCAAAGACGGGUAGCGGGUGUGAGAGCAUGACCCGCCGCAUCGGGACUGAGACACUGCCCGGACUCCUACGGGAGGCUGCAGUAACGAAUAUUCCGCAAUGAGCGAAAGCUUGACGGAGCAAUGCCGCGUGUAGGAUGAAUCUCCUUGGAGUGUAAACUACUGUCAGAGACUAGGAACUCAAUGACCAAUCUCAAAGGGAGGGCCGGCUAACUUCGUGCCAGCAGCCGCGGUAAUACGAAGGGCCCGAGCGUUAUUCGGAAUCACUGGGCUUAAAGCGUGCGUAGGCGGACUUGUAGGCGUUUUGUGAAAUCCCUCGGCUCAACCGAGGAACUGCAGAGCGAACCCCAAGCCUUGAGACAGAUAGAGGUUGUCGGAACGAUUGGUGGAGUGGUGAAAUGCGUUGAUAUCAAUCGGAACGCCAAAUGAGAAGUCAGGCAACUGGAUCUGUUCUGACGCUGAGGCACGAAAGCGUGGGUAGCGAACGGGAUUAGAUACCCCGGUAGUCCACGCCGUAAACAAUGUGCACUAGGUCGAGGGCGUUCUGACGCGACUCUCGGCCGAAGCGAAAGUGUUAAGUGCACCGCCUGGGGAGUACGGUCGCAAGGCUAAAACUCAAAGGAAUUGACGGGGGCUCACACAAGCGGUGGAGCAUGUGCUUAUUCGAAGCACGCGAAGAACCUUAUCCUAGGUUUGACAUACACGGAUUAGCUAUAAGAAACUAUAGUGACACCUUCAGGUGAACGUGAACAGGUGCG
rnacentral:rRNA from 1 species